GUAUAUGUAGUAUAAGAAAAUAUGACAGGUUUAGGUCCUGUGGAUAAGGUGUAUACU
rnacentral:tRNA from 1 species